ensembl:lncRNA
GUAGAGAGGCAGAGGGAGGGUAGAGAGGCAGAGGGAGGCUAGGGAGGCAGAGGGAGGCUAGGGAGGCAGAGGGAGGCUAGAGAGGCAGAGGGAGGCUAGAGAGGCAGAGGGAGGCUAGAGAGGCAGAGGGAGGCUAGAGACAGAGUGAGGGUAGAGACAGAGGGAGGCUAGAGACAGAUUUAAACUUGUUAACCCUCGCAAGGCUGCAGGCCCAGACGGCAUCCCCAGCCGCGCCCUCAGAGCAUGCGCAGACCAGCUGGCCGGUGUGUUUACGGACAUAUUCAAUCAAUCCCUACACCAGUCUGCUGUUCCCACAUGCUUCAAGAGGGCCACCAUUGUUCCUGUUCCCAAGAAAGCUAAGGUAACUGAGCUAAACGACUACCGCCCCGUAGCACUCACAUCCGUCAUCAUGAAGUGCUUUGACAGACUAGUCAAGGACCAUAUCACCUCCACCCUACCUGACACCCUAGACCCACUCCAAUUUGCUUACCGCCCAAAUAGGUCCACAGACGAUGCAAUCUCAACCACACUGCACACUGCCCUAACCCAUCUGGACAAGAGGAAUACCUAUGUGAGAAUGCUGUUCAUCGA